UUCAUCGUCACAGGAAUAUGACGUUUCAAGAGACAGACUUUUUGUCAAUCCAAUCAAAAUUCAGUGUGUACAUGCGCCAACCGGAAGAAGGUGAAAAGUAGGCAAUGUUAGUAUUGACUGUCUCUAUUGGCAUUAUCCAGUCCCAAUACUACUACAUAGACUUGUCCAGACAAAACAAUGGCUUACAGGAGAGACCGAAACAUAAGGGAUGUCUAUGACGAACGCUUCCUAUCAGACAGACCGGCCCCAUAUCCCAGAUCAGCUGGAGCAGGGCCUGUAGAGAGGAGGCCGGCUGGUUUCGGAAGGCCAGACGAGGAGUACAAUCGAGGG